GAACGCGAAGAACCUUACCAGUGUCUUGACAUCCUUUGACCAUUCUGGAGACAGAACUUUCCCUUGGUGGGACAGAGUGACAGGUGGUGCAUGGUUGUCGUCAGCUCGUGUCGUGAGAUGUUGGGUUAAGUCCCGCAACGAGCGCAACCCUUGAUUUUAGUUGCCAGCAUUUAGUUGGGCACUCUAAAGUGACUGCCGGUGUAAGCCGGAGGAAGGUGGGGAUGACGUCAAAUCAUCAUGCCCCUUAUGACCUGGUGCUACACACGUGCUACAAUGGAUAAUACAAAGGGUCUGCGAAGCCGCGAGGUGGAGCCAAUCCCAUAAAAUUAUUCUCAGUUCGGAUUGCAGGCUGCAACUCGCCUGCAUGAAGCCGGAAUCGCUAGUAAUCGUAGAUCAGCAUGCUACGGUGAAUACGUUCCCGGGUCUUGUACACACC
rnacentral:rRNA from 1 species